AGCGAACGCUGGCGGCAGGCUUAACACAUGCAAGUCGAGCGGGCACCUUUCGGGGUGUCAGCGGCGGACGGGUGAGUACCGCGUGGGAACGUGCCCUCUGGUUCGGAAUAACUCAGGGAAACUUGAGCUAAUACCGGAUACGCCCUUUUGAGGAAAGGCUUGCUGCCGGAGGAUCGGCCCGCGUCUGAUUAGCUAGUUGGUGAGGUAACGGCUCACCAAGGCGACGAUCAGUAGCUGGUCUGAGAGGAUGAUCAGCCACACUGGGACUGAGACGCGGCCCAGACUCCUACGGGAGGCAGGAGUGGGGAAUAUUGGACAAUGGGCGCAAGCCUGAUCGAGCCAUGCCGCGUGAGUGAUGAAGGCCUUAGGGUUGUAAAGCUCUUUUAUCCGGGACGAUAAUGACGGUACCGGAGGAAUAAGCCCCGGCUAACUUCGUG
rnacentral:rRNA from 1 species